GUACCCCCAAAAAGGUUAAGAACCACUGGUCUAGAGCUUCGGAGCGUGACGUCACUGCUCUAGUCGGAGGGGUAUCGGCGCCAUCUUUGUUGCCACCGACAAAAACGACUGUCUCUCAGAUAUUUUAGCUAUUGGCACAAACUUGCUGCGUUAAUGGAUGUAAUGUCCGAUUACACGACCGAAAAGGUAAAAAGAUGGAAAACGGACUUUAUUUUCACACUCAUCCUGCUUGGAAACAACGCGAGGAGGCUAAGCUAACGGAGCUAACGAGAAGAAGACGAAUGUCCUGGUGUCAGCGGUGAGACGUCCUGAUAUUUACCUUCUCCAACAUCCCCAGAUGCCUACAAGUUUCUUCCAGACAUUUCCAUUCUGGAUGUUUCCAAGCUCUCCUCUCCAGCAACUGGACGUCACCUGCAGUCACUCAGAUUCAUCUUCAUCAGAGGAACAAUCAGCCUGAACAGGACUCCGUGGCGACGCAGCGGCUGGCCGCGCUGCUUUCUCGUUGCUACGGCGAUUCUCCACUUCCUGCCGUCCUGCUGCGUCUCUGCAGCAGCUGAGCUCUGCCGGUUCUGUGAGAGAUUCUUCCUGCAGAAUCUGGUCCCGCUGCUGGACAGAGCGGACUCCCACCGCCUGUUGCUAGGGAGCGCCGUCCGGGUCGGGACCAGAACCUGGACCUCCUGCCGGUUCUGAGGAGCCUGGAGGCGGCGCUGAUCCACAGACUGUCUGACCUGCUCGCUGCAUGUCGAGGGUAGAAGUUCUGACCGGAUCGUCUCUGGUUGGUACCACAAGCAAACAUCUGGUUCUACGUUUCACAUCUGCAUUCAGGCUGGAGCCGGUUCUGACCCGUAAAAUAUUUACAACAAGAACAGAAACCUGGUUGAACCUCCAACCGUCCUCUGAGUUAAACUGUUUAUAACUUCUAAACAUUUUAUUUCUAAUUGAAGCUGUUUUCAUGUUAACGGAUUAAAACCUGCAGCUGCAUUAAAACCUGCAGCUCCGCUUAUCCGGGGUCGG